UUGCUUGUGCAGCACAUAUACUAAAAUUGGAACAAUACAGAGAAUAUUAGCAUGUCCCCUGCAUAAAAAUAAAACACAAAUUCGUGAAGCGUUUUGUAUUUUC